GACGAACGCUGGCGGCGUGCUUAACACAUGCAAGUCGAGCGGAGCGGCGAACGGGUGAGUAACGCGUGAGUAACUGCCCCCCUCUCUGGGAUAACAGUUGGAAACGGCUGCUAAUACCGGAUAGUGUGGGAUGACUCGCGUCCUAUCAGCUUGUUGGUGGGGUAGUGGCCUACCACGGCGACGACGGGUAGCCGGCCUGAGAGGGCGACCGGCCACAUUGGGCUACGAUACGGCCCAAACGCGUACGGGGGGCAGUGGUGGGGAAUAUGGCACAAUGGGGGAACGCCUGAGGCAGCAACGCCGCGUGCGGGAUGUAGGCCUUCGGGGUGGAAACGGCUUUCAGCCAUGACGCGGUAGUGGCAGAAGAAGCACCGGCUAACUACGUGCCAGCAGCCGCGGUAAUUC
rnacentral:rRNA from 1 species